CAAUAGCGUAUAUUUAAGUUGCUGCAGUUAAAAAGCUCGUAGUUGGAUUUCGGGUGGGAAUGGCCGGUCCGCCGUUUCGGUGUGCACUUGCUACGCCCACCUUGCUGCCGGGGACGUGCUCUUGAGUUCACGCUCGGGACACGGAGUCGGCGAGGUUACUUUGAGUAAAUUAGAGUGUUCAAAGCAGGCCUACGCUCUGAAUACAUUAGCAUGGAAUAACACGAUAGGACUCUGGCCUAUCUUGUUGGUCUGUAGGACCGGAGUAAUGAUUAAGAGGGACAGUCGGGGGCAUUCGUAUUUCAUUGUCAGAGGUGAAAUUCUUGGAUUUAUGAAAGACGAACUACUGCGAAAGCAUUCACCAAGGAUGUCUUCUUUAA
rnacentral:rRNA from 1 species